AUGAACGCUAGCUACAGGCUUAACACAUGCAAGUCGAGGGGCAGCAUGGUCUUAGCUUGCUAAGACUGAUGGCGACCGGCGCACGGGUGAGUAACACGUAUCCAACCUGCCGUCUACUCUUGGACAGCCUUCUGAAAGGAAGAUUACUACAAGAUGGCAUCAUGAGUCCGCAUGUUCACAUGAUUAAAGGUAUUCCGGUAGACGAUGGGGAUGCGUUCCAUUAGAUAGUAGGCGGGGUAACGGCCCACCUAGUCUUCGAUGGAUAGGGGUUCUGAGAGGAAGAUCCCCCACAUUGGAACUGAGACACGGUCCAAACUCCUACGGGAGGCAGCAGUGAGGAAUAUUGGUCAAUGGGCGAGAGCCUGAACCAGCCAAGUAGCGUGAAGGAUGACUGCCCUAUGGGUUGUAAACUUCUUUUAUAAAGGAAUAAAGUCGGGUAUGCAUACCCGUUUGCAUGUACUUUAUGAAUAAGGAUCGGCUAACUCCGUGCCAGCAGCCGCGGUAAUACGGAGGAUCCGAGCGUUAUCCGGAUUUAUUGGGUUUAAAGGGAGCGUAGAUGGAUGUUUAAGUCAGUUGUGAAAGUUUGCGGCUCAACCGUAAAAUUGCAGUUGAUACUGGAUAUCUUGAGUGCAGUUGAGGCAGGCGGAAUUCGUGGUGUAGCGGUGAAAUGCUUAGAUAUCACGAAGAACUCCGAUUGCGAAGGCAGCCUGCUAAGCUGCAACUGACAUUGAGGCUCGAAAGUGUGGGUAUCAAACAGGAUUAGAUACCCUGGUAGUCCACACGGUAAACGAUGAAUACUCGCUGUUUGCGAUAUACGGCAAGCGGCCAAGCGAAAGCGUUAAGUAUUCCACCUGGGGAGUACGCCGGCAACGGUGAAACUCAAAGGAAUUGACGGGGGCCCGCACAAGCGGAGGAACAUGUGGUUUAAUUCGAUGAUACGCGAGGAACCUUACCCGGGCUUAAAUUGCAGAUGAAUUACGGUGAAAGCCGUAAGCCGCAAGGCAUCUGUGAAGGUGCUGCAUGGUUGUCGUCAGCUCGUGCCGUGAGGUGUCGGCUUAAGUGCCAUAACGAGCGCAACCCUUGUUGUCAGUUACUAACAGGUUCCGCUGAGGACUCUGACAAGACCGCCAUCGUAAGAUGUGAGGAAGGUGGGGAUGACGUCAAAUCAGCACGGCCCUUACGUCCGGGGCUACACACGUGUUACAAUGGGGGGUACAGAGGGCCGCUACCACGCGAGUGGGUGCCAAUCCCCAAAACCUCUCUCAGUUCGGACUGGAGUCUGCAACCCGACUCCACGAAGCUGGAUUCGCUAGUAAUCGCGCAUCAGCCACGGCGCGGUGAAUACGUUCCCGGGCCUUGUACACACCGCCCGUCAAGCCAUGGGAGCCGGGGGUACCUGAAGUGCGUAACCGCGAGGAGCGCCCUAGGGUAAAACUGGUGACUGGGGCUAAG
rnacentral:rRNA from 1 species